GAAAAUAAUGGUUUACAAAUAUGAACAGAAUAUACUUUGCCCAAAGCACAGACUAUGUAAUAGUUAAAAGGAAGUAAACGUGGGCUGAGAACACUGGAAGGAGAACUGUGAGGUGUGUUUGCUGUUAGAUUAUAAGCUCCUAAACCAGAACCACUUUCUAAGAGACGCAAAAGUAGUUCCUUCACCUAUGGGAUGUAAAACUGAACUUGAAAAACUAUCUAAGAAUAUUCAGUGUAGAUGGCUCCUUUCAAAUGGUGGGGAUUAUGGAAAGAAUAUGUUAGGUGUUUUUCAACUCAUUACUAAAUCUCUCUAUCUUGAAUUUCCUUGACAUAAGAAGCAUUUUAAAUCAAACUAUUAGAGCAUAAGUUAAGUUGCUUAAAUCUUCCCUUUUCCUAAAAUACUUGUUUCAUAAACAUAAAUAAAAUAUUUAAAUUUCAAGAGAAUCUUUGUUAAGACAUUUUAGAAAGUUUACAGCUUUCACUUUGUUUUUCUUACUACUAAGUAGAAGUUUAGGUUUACAUUUAGAUGUUUUAUGAUAAUAUAUUAGUUAAGCCUUCAACCAAGAAUAUGACUCUCUUGGCUUAAAAGUCUAUGAGGGCAUGUUACUUCCAAGAUUUUCCUCUAGAAGCUAAAGUCCAAUAUAUUAUUUCAAAUUUGGGAAUAUCUCCUUCCAUUUCAUUUUAUUUCUACUUGAAUAAAUUAAAGAACUAUUUAGGACAAAUUGCAGGGUUUUCCACAGUAGACCUUCUUAGUUAUAAGAAAAUGAAAAGACUGAUUUAUAAUUUUUCAGAGCCUCCAGGUUUAGUUUAUAGCUUUCAGGAUGUAUAGCUAAGAAAUCUUCCAAAGCUAGUAGGGAAAUGUAACACAGCAAAAAUAAUUGUUACAUAAAAAAUAGUUAAGGUAGAUAAAUAGAUAAUAAAAUUCUAAAGAAGCCUGCCAUGGUAGCUUUUUUUUUCUUUUUCUUUUUCUUUUUCUUUCUUUUCAGGAAAGUUCAUCUGGAUCUAUCAGAAUAUUGAAUAUUGAUAAUUUGUGAAUUAAAGUUUUCUG
rnacentral:lncRNA from 1 species